rnacentral:rRNA from 1 species
UACGUAGGGUGCAAGCAUUAAUCGGAAUUAUUGGGCGUAAAGGGAGUGUAGGCGGUUGCCUAAGUCUUCUGUGAAAUCUACGGGCUUAGCCUGUAACGUGCAGAGGAAACUGGGUGACUUGAGUGUCGGAGAGGGUAGCGGAAUUCCCGGUGUAGAGGUCGAAAUUCGUAGAGAUCGGGAGGAACACCUGUGGCGAAGGCGGCCCCCUGG